ACCCAGGUUCUUAGACCAUGGCCAGAUGGCACUCCCACCAGGCGGAAAAUCACUCUUACGCCCCGACCAUGCCCCGACCCAAAACUCUCGUUUUUUUGUGUAGUAUUUCCCGCAAGAGGGUACCCCUUUUCUGAGAGGGAAAAUGAGUCAUAGCAGAGUUAUCGAGGGGAUGGUUCAUUCACUGCACCGACUUUGCCAUAAGGCUUGGUCGUCAAAAUUCUCCUUAACGAUGGUGGUGGCACCUAGUGGAUUUGGCAAAUGUGGCGUUGAAGACAAACAAAAUAUCAAAUAAUUUAAUCCAGCGUAAUCGCAUUCAUCUGCUUUAUAAUUUUAAAUGAUUUACACAGCUUCCAGAAUGCAGAGACACAUGUAUCAUGUAACUUGGAAACGUAAACGAAGAAUUUUCUAAAAAAACGUUUUUGAAACCGAAAGGCAAAUCGUUUUUCUGCCACGACUAACCAUUUCCUAAUCAAACAAUCUUGAAUCAUUUACUCAAACCCAAGAGGUUCCAGAAUUUAUGUGUAUUGAGUCACGAAAUAGUACAUUAAUGAAUCGGUAAAUAAAUACCAUGAGAAAUUUUAAAAGAAGAGGAGCAGGAAUGGCUCGUUCAAAGAAUCAUUUUUCUUAUAUUCGUCCCGUCUGUCAUUUCAUUUGUUUGCCACGUUUAUUUAUUAGCUAUAUUUUUUAAGUUCUCUUUUUCUUUCCACGUCCUUUUGUUUCUGGAGUGCCAACAGCUGCCUCGCUUUUGCGUUUUGAACCCUUUGUUGGUGUUGCUUCACUUUUGGCUCCGUCGUCCUCCAAUUUCGGUAUGGCUUCAACUUUAGUUCCUAUGCUAGUCUUGGGUCCCCGUUUCUUCUUGUCUACCUUUUCCUUUUCUUCCCAUUCUUGAACCUCCCUCUCAAUCAAGGUAAUGAGAGUAUUGCAGCGUCUCUGUAGCUCCAUUGCUGUUCGCGACUUCAAGAACCAGUCAAAACGGAACUGGGGGGCAGAUCUAUAGAUCAACAGGACAGUAACGAUCGGUGAUAAAUUUACACUUCUGGCAUUUGAUCUUACCUAACGGCAGCUCGCAGCUCUUCAUAUACGUUCUCUUUGUCGAAUCCUAAACGAUGUAGCAUGCAAACUAAAAAGCGGUCCUCUUCCUCAGUGUAAUUUUUUCCUUUGUUAGUUCCAUAGGCAAUACGUAAUUGAUGGAAGGGAGCUCGAUACUUUGACAUCUGAAAAACAAAAUAAUAAAAGUGCAAUCAACCAUCAA